rnacentral:rRNA from 1 species
AUCUGAAAUCAACUGAGACUACCCGCUGAACUUAAGCAUAUCAAUAAGCGGAGGAAAAGAAAAUAACAAUGAUUCCCUCAGUAACGGCGAGUGAACAGGGAAAAGCUCACAGUUGGAACCUAGCUGCCUUAGGUAGUUCGGAUUGUAAACUGAAAAAGUGUUAUCCAGGCUAGCCGAGUAAAUAAGUUUCUUGGAAUAGAACAUCAUGGAGGGUGAGAAUCCCGUCUUUGGCUUGAGCAUAGUCUUUUGUGUUGCACUUUAACGAGUCAGGUUGUUUGGGAAUGCAGCCUAAAGUGGGAGGUAAAUCCCUCNUAAAGNUAAAUAUUGGCGAGAGACCGAUAGCAAACAAGUNCCGUGAGGGAAAGAUGAAAAGAACUNNGAAAAGAGAGUUAAACAGUAUGUGAAANUGNUAAAAGGGAAGCGUUUGAAGACAGACUAGCUNGGUUAUAAUCAGCCUGGAUUUUUCUUGGUGUACUUGUAGCCUAUGCUUGCCAACAGCAGUUUGGUUUGGCUGAAAAAACUAGUAGUAAGGUGGCUCUCUUCGGGGAGUGUUAUAGACUAUUAGAAAAUCAGUUGGACUGGANUGAGGAAUGCAAUGCAGCUUGCCUUGGGGUGAACCAGAUUGGAUAGAAACCAUUGUUUCU